rnacentral:rRNA from 1 species
UACGAAGGUGGCAAGCGUUACUCGGAAUUACUAGGCGUAAAGCGCAGGUAGGUGGUUUGGUAAGUCCGUCAUGAAAUCUCCCGGCUUAACUGGGAGCGGUUGAUGGAUACUGCCAGGCUUGGAGUGUGGGAGAGGGUGCUGGAAUUCCAGGUGUAGAGGUGAAAUGCGUAGAUAUCUGGAGGAACACCGAUGGCGAAAGCAGGCACCUGGCCCAAUACUGACACUGAGCUGCGAAAGCUAGGGGAGCAAACAGG